UACGUAGGGUGCAAGCGUUAUCCGGAAUCACUGGGCGUAAAGCGUCUGUAGGUGGUUCAAUAAGUCAACUGUUAAAUCUUGAGGCUCAACUUCAAAAUCGCAGUCGAAACUAUUGGACUCGAGUAUAGUAGGGGUAAAGGGAAUUUCCAGUGGAGCGGUGAAAUGCGUAGAGAUUGGAAAGAACACCAAUGGCGAAAGCACUUUACUGGGCUAUUACUGACACUGAGAGACGAAAGCUAGGGUAGCAAAUGGG
rnacentral:rRNA from 1 species